GCGCCCGUAGCUCAGUUGACAGAGCAGUGAGACGGUACCACACGGUCCCGGGUUCAAUUCCCCGCGGUCGCU